GCUUUUAUUGAAUCCGUUUUGUUUUGUAUGUCUUCAGUUUCUUAGAAAUAAUUUUCUUUUUUUUUUUCUUUCUCUUAGACAUAUCAUCUUUUUCAUGUACCUUGACAUGGAAACUUCAACGGAAACUUCCGCCUUCCUCUUCCUCGAGUGAAAAAGAUGACAUGUCUGAGAUAAAGGAAAAAAGAAAACUAUUUCUAAGGUUUUGUCCGCACCAAAAGGUUCGAUUUCUGAUAUGAACCAAAGCGAAGAUGAUACAUUGUUGCAAUUUCUCAGCUGGUUCGGUUCGUGUUCACAAAGUCCAAACUCAAACGGUCCAAAAAUUGUCACAUGACAGCAAAAGCCGAUCUGUGAUUGCUUUAAAGUUUGGGUGAGUUGACGACAAAUCCCUCGCAUUUUUUACUGAACAUCAUGGAGCAUCUGAUCUGGACUGCAUAUCAGAAGACUUUAACGAACCACGUGUAUGAACGGCUGGGGAGACUGUGGCAGUUAAAUAAUGUAUUAAUACACACAUGUCGCAGGAGACGCUCUGCAAUCGGAUGGUCAUAUCACAGAAGAUGACAGUCAAUAACAAGAGCCUACCAUGAUGUUUUUUUUCGAGGCAGGCUUCCUGUGAUUGAUGCGAAUGGGGUUCACACCAGAAGUAAACCACUCUAGAGUCCACUUGAUAGCGGUCUGAGACCGCCCCUACCAGGCGGACCUGAGAGCGGUUGACUGGUCCGCACCAGAUUUCAAGGCCAGCGUUCACACCAACCAAAACGAACCGCACCACAGAGGUGAACGCUAAGUCCCAGCUGGACUGAACUGGACUGAACUGGACUAAACGCGGCUGGUGUGAACGGGACCUAAAAAACUAAAGACAUAAUGAACAUCAUUCAACUAUUAAAAGUUAUGGAAAAAGGAAAGCAGAAGUUUCCGCCAAAACGUGUCUAGGUACGUGAAACAGAUUACAUGUCUGAGAUAGAGGGGAAAAAAGAAAACUAUUUACAUUUUGUUUUGUUCUCCAAAUAAAGUCGUCCCCAAACUUCUCUUUGGCAUAAACUCUCAAAAAAAUCAGUCAUACCCAUUUUAACUUUUUGGGUUCGCCUCCUCACUUUUCACCUUUUUUCUUUUUUGAAUUUUUCUCUCUUGUUUGAGGCUUUGAAGUUUUUUGGCGUUCGCACCCAUGAGAUGCAAAAGAAUGAUCAAAGUAAUUCAUGUAGUGGAGCAGCUCCAAUUAAGACGACGAACCUGUGAAAACACACAAACCAAAGUAACCGGCCUGCUGGAGAUUAGCCGGAGGAUCACACAAAGGGAAUCUGUCGACUUAUUUAUCUUAAAAGUAGAAAAGUGAGAGGGAUGAGGGAAACCAGAACGUUUUGAGACACGACACACACUGUGUCUGUGCCGAUUAGGUUAUCCUGGCUCUUUCUUUUUUUUUUUGAAGACCCAAACAACUUUACUAUAGAUUCACCCACAUCCCUGACCAUCUGCCCCACUUCACAAUGCUUCUUAAUUAGCUCUAACUGUAUACAGCGCAAUGCUAAUUCAGUUUCAGCCGUCUAAUUAGCCUAGAGAGCCAUUACUUCUGAUUUCUCUGCAUCAGCAUUUCUUCUCCUCUUUCUUCUUGCCCCUUAUUUAUUCAUCUCAUUUCCCUCUUACUGUUACUCCUCUCUGCAGGAGACCGACCCUGUUCUCACGCUUUCUCUGACACAGAAACACACAUUUAUCACACAUGUACGCCUGUAUGAACCGAAUCAUCUACAUGUCUGUGCACACGCCCUGUUGGAUGCAGUUGAAGGGCAAAGGUGCCUCUGAGUCAAAUCGCAGAAAAAGCAGAAAUAGUGACAAUUGCGAUCUGAAUUUAAUAUGCUUAAACAAAGAUUAUGAAACAGCUCUUACAAUAAUCAUGCGCCCCAGAUCUCAUUCCCGUCACCUCUAGAUCUGAAACCGAUCACAGGCGCAGGCAGAGUCACGCCUGGUUCACACUGGAAGCGCCGCGCGCGGAACGGAAGCGCCGCGCACAGAGUUUCGGAUCGGCGCCCAUGUUAACCUAUGAGACUGUUCACACAGCACGCGCGCGGAAGCGCCGCGCGCGGAACGGCUCGCGCUCUGGAGCGCGGGUGCUCCGCUUCUCUCUAUUUUCGGCGCGAGCCGCGAGCGCCGAUGUAAAGCUCAACAGAGCAGAUCGGACCAGACAGGAAGUCAGGAAGGAGAUGCGAGAGAAUCCGGUCAAUUUUCAAAAUAAAGUAAAUUUCAAUAAAUUAGAAAAGGAUUUACGGUGUUGCUUGUCAGUCUAUUUUUUUUACCGAUGAACACACACACACACACACACACACACA
rnacentral:lncRNA from 1 species